UGGGGAAUUUUGGACAAUGGGGGAAACCCUGAUCCAGCCAUGCCGCGUGUGUGAAGAAGGCCUUCGGGUUGUAAAGCACUUUCGGACGGAACGAAAUCGCACGGGUGAAUAUCCCGUGUGGAUGACGGUACCGUAAGAAGAAGCACCGGCUAACUACGUGCCAGCAGCCGCGGUAAUACGUAGGGUGCGAGCGUUAAUCGGAAUUACUGGGCGUAAAGUGUGCGCAGGCGGCUUCGCAAGUCGAGUGUGAAAUCCCCGGGCUUAACUUGGGAACGGCGCUCGAAACUACGGAGCUAGAGUAUGGCAGAGGGAGGUGGAAUUCCACGUGUAGCGGUGAAAUGCGUAGAGAUGUGGAGGAACACCAAUGGCGAAGGCAGCCUCCUGGGCCAAUACUGACGCUCAUGCACGAAAGCGUGGGGAGCAAACAGGAUUAGAUACCCGGGUAGUCCCUGAGCGGGCUGGCAAGGCGCAU
rnacentral:rRNA from 1 species